AGUGAACGCUGGCGGCAGGCCUAAUACAUGCAAGUCGAACGGCAGCACAGCAGAGCUUGCUCUGUGGGUGGCGAGUGGCGGACGGGUGAGGAAUACAUGGGAAUCUGCCCAGUCGUGGGGGAUAACGUAUGGAAACGUACGCUAAUACCGCAUGCGCCCUUUGGGGGAAAGCCGGGGACCUUCGGGCCUGGCGCGUUUGGAUGAGCCCAUGUUCGAUUAGCUAGUUGGCGGGGUAAAGGCCCACCAAGGCGACGAUCGAUAGCUGGUCUGAGAGGAUGAUCAGCCACACUGGGACUGAGACACGGCCCAGACUCCUACGGGAGGCAGCAGUAGGGAAUAUUGGACAAUGGGCGCAAGCCUGAUCCAGCCAUGCCGCGUGAGUGAAGAAGACCCUCGGGUUGUAAAGCUCUUUUGUCCGGAAAGAAAAGCAUUCGGUUAAUACCCGGGUGUUCUGACGGUACCGGAAGAAUAAGCACCGGCUAACUUCGUG
rnacentral:rRNA from 1 species